rnacentral:tRNA from 1 species
UCCAUAGCUCAGUUGGUAGAGCGUCCGGCUGUUAACCGGAGGGUCGCAGGUUCGAGCCCUGCUGUUCCC